UCCUGGUUUACUUCAGUCUCCGGAGAUGAAAAGUCGAGACACUGAACUUGUCUAAUGGAGAAGAUAGGAGGUGAAGUACGGAAACUUUUGUGAAGAGAGAGAGAGAGAGAGAGAGAGAGAGAGAGAGAGAGAGAGAGAGAGAGAGAGAGAGAGAGAGAGAGAGAGAGAGAGAGAGAGAGA